rnacentral:rRNA from 1 species
UGUGUCUUCGAGUCGUUGAUUUCACACUGCCGAGAAAAGCCUCUAGAUAGAAAAUAGGUGCCCGUACCGCAAACCGACACAGGUAGUCAAGAUGAGAAUUCUAAGGUGAGCGAGCGAACUCUCGUUAAGGAACUCGGCAAAAUGACCCCGUAACUUCGGGAGAAGGGGUGCUCUUUAGGGUUAACGCCCAGAAGAGCCGCAGUGAAUAGGCCCAAGCGACUGUUUAUCAAAAACACAGGUCUCUGCUAAACCGUAAGGUGAUGUAUAGGGGCUGACGCCUGCCCGGUGCUGGAAGGUUAAGAGGAGUGGUUAGCUUCUGCGAAGCUACGAAUCGAAGCCCCAGUAAACGGCGGCCGUAACUAUAACGGUCCUAAGGUAGCGAAAUUCCUUGUCGGGUAAGUUCCGACCCGCACGAAAGGCGUAACGAUUUGGGCACUGUCUCAACGAGAGACUCGGUGAAAUCAUAGUACCUGUGAAGAUGCAGGUUACCCGCGACAGGACGGAAAGACCCCGUGGAGCUUUACUGUAGCCUGAUAUUGAAAUUCGGCACAGCUUGUACAGGAUAGGUAGGAGCCUUUGAAACGUGAGCGCUAGCUUACGUGGAGGCGCUGGUGGGAUACUACCCUAGCUGUGUUGGCUUUCUAACCCGCACCACUUAUCGUGGUGGGAGACAGUGUCAGGCGGGCAGUUUGACUGGGGCGGUCGCCUCCUAAAAGGUAACGGAGGCGCUCAAAGGUUCCCUCAGAAUGGUUGGAAAUCAUUCAUAGAGUGUAAAGGCAUAAGGGAGCUUGACUGCGAGACCUACAAGUCGAGCAGGGUCGAAAGACGGACUUAGUGAUCCGGUGGUUCCGCAUGGAAGGGCCAUCGCUCAACGGAUAAAAGCUACCCCGGGGAUAACAGGCUUAUCUCCCCCAAGAGUUCACAUCGACGGGGAGGUUUGGCACCUCGAUGUCGGCUCAUCGCAUCCUGGGGCUGUAGUCGGUCCCAAGGGUUGGGCUGUUCGCCCAUUAAAGCGGUACGCGAGCUGGGUUCAGAACGUCGUGAGACAGUUCGGUCCCUAUCCGUCGUGGGCGUAGGAAAUUUGAGAGGAGCUGUCCUUAGUACGAGAGGACCGGGAUGGACAUACCUCUGGUGUACCAGUUGUCGUGCCAACGGCAUAGCUGGGUAGCUAUGUGUGGACGGGAUAAGUGCUGAAAGCAUCUAAGCAUGAAGCCCCCCUCAAGAUGAGAUUUCCCAACUUCGGUUAUAAGAUCCCUCAAAGAUGAUGAGGUUAAUAGGUUCGAGGUGGAAGCAUGGUGACAUGUGGAGCUGACGAAUACUAAUCGAUCGAAGACUUAAUCAA